CUUACUAACGAAAAAGUUUUUCUGAUUAAUACACGCUCUUCUAAAGGACUCACCUGACUGGCACAGUGAAAGUGACUGCACGCGCUUGUUUGAACAACACAGACUGAUAACAUUUUCAACUUACGCAUUCGUCCCGAGGCUGCCAAACCAACUCCCAACUAUCAAGACGACGCCGACCAUGACGUCCUCGCGUUCGGCGUGGCUAAUGACGAGCACGGCGCACCUGAGGAGCGUGGAAACAAACAUUUAUACGCAACAGGUCAUCCAGGUCACUUCCUUCACUCCGACCUUGGCAUGUCAUUCCUUGAAUGCGGACUUUGCAAGCCAGAUGUUGAUAUGUCCUCCGGUUUCGACGGACUCGACUUACGAGAUUUCGACUUUACGACGCCGGAGUGUCGUCCGGCAUUGUCUCCAGUUUUUUUGUUUUUGUUUUUUUUUUACUGCGUAAACAGUACCUAAUUCUACUGCAGAAUAUCUUAAUAUUAACUUUAUUAACUAACUGAUUAACUAACUAACUAACUAACUAACUAACUAACUAACUAACUAACUAACUAACUAACUAACUAACUAACUAACUAACUAACUAACUAACAUGUUCUGUCCACACUAAACGUGAAGUUGUUCUAAUCGACUGACAGCAAACAAGACACUUGUGGUUUUUGAAGCAUUUUCCUCCCUUCCCUGUUGACAUUUGAAAAGCUGUAGCACACAUGUGUACACUUAUGUUCAAAACGUCACACAUUUUAACGAUAAAAUACGACACAAAACAAUUGGUGUUCAAACGUCCAUCACGUAUGAUUGAAAUAUAAAUUUAGUAUAUUAAAUUAGCCAAAUCUGCCUAGCAAAAGUCCGCUAGCUUAAAUGCUAUGAAUGCUAACGUAUCUACAAUUUUCAUAGCAAAUCACUCACACAUAACUCCACGAACUGUAACUCUAAACUUAAUUAGAAAUGCAUACACAGACAUAUAUUAUCUUAAAAACCUAGCCUUAUGUGGGGCAAAUGAGAGGGCAGCUGUCCUAUAUCCAUGUCAGACGAGUCUCCUACUCAGUCAUAGA